rnacentral:rRNA from 1 species
UACGGAGGAUGCAAGCGUUAUCCGGAUUUAUUGGGCGUAAAGCGUCCGCAGGUGGUUUUCCAAGUCUGCUGUUAAAGCGCGAGGCUUAACCUCGUACAGGCAGUGGAAACUGAAUGACUAGAGUAUGGUAGGGGUAGCGGGAAUUCCCAGUGUAGCGGUGAAAUGCGUAGAUAUUGGGAAGAACACCAGCGGCGAAAGCGCGCUACUGGGCCAUUACUGACACUCAUGGACGAAAGCUAGGGGAGCGAAAGGG